UACAUACGCGUGAGGGAGGAGGCUCUUGGGUUGUAAACCUCUUUUCUCAGGGAGAUUAAAUGACGGCUCCUUGAAAAUUCCCCUCGGCUAACUUCGGGCCCGCCCCCGCGGUUAAUCGGAGGAAGGAAGCGUUUUCCGGAAUUUUUGGGGGUAAAGCGUCCGCAGGGGGUUUUUCAAGUCUGCUGUCAAAGGCCGGGGCUUAACCCUGAAAAGGGGGGGAAAACUUAAACUCUAGAGGGGGGUGGGGGGAAAGGGAUUUCCCGGUGGAGGGGGAAAAUGGCUAAAAUUUGAAAAAAACCCCCGGGGGAAAAGCCCUUCUGUGGACCACCUCUGACCCUUGGGGAAAAAAGCUGGGGGAGCAAAGGGGUUUAAAACCCCCCUUGUCACAAAGGGUUUUUAAUCCCCCUUGUUACCAUUGGGCACUGAUCUCCCCUUUCCGUGUACAUUCU
rnacentral:rRNA from 1 species